rnacentral:rRNA from 1 species
UACGAAGGGGGCUAGCGUUGCUCGGAAUCACUGGGCGUAAAGCGCACGUAGGCGGAUUGCUAAGUCAGGGGUGAAAUCCUGGAGCUCAACUCCAGAACUGCCUUUGAUACUGGCGAUCUCGAGUCCGGGAGAGGUGAGUGGAACUGCGAGUGUAGAGGUGAAAUUCGUAGAUAUUCGCAAGAACACCAGUGGCGAAGGCGGCUCACUGGCCCGGUACUGACGCUGAGGUGCGAAAGCGUGGGGGAGCAAACAGGG